UACGACUACAUAUCAGGCAUAUCAAUAAGCGGAGGAAAAGAAACUAACUAGGAUUCCCUCAGUAACGGCGAGUGAAGCGGGAAGAGCUCAAAUUUGAAAUCUUCAAGGUUUUACCUUGACGAAUUGUAGUUUAAAGAAGUGUUUUCUGUUGGUGUUUUGGUAAAAGUUCUUUGGAAUAGGACAUCAUAGAGGGUGAGAAUCCCGUAUUUGACCAUUACUUCCAGCGUUGUGAUACACUUUCAAAGAGUCGGAUUGUUUGGGAAUGCAGUCCAAAAUGGGUGGUAAAUUUCAUCUAAAGCUAAAUAUUGGCGAGAGACCGAUAGCGAACAAGUACCGUGAGGGAAAGAUGAAAAGAACUUUGAAAAGAGAGUUAAACAGUACGUGAAAUUGUCAAAAGGGAAGCGUUUGACACCAGUGUUGUUUAGUUGGAAAUCAAUUAAAUAAUUUUCGAUUCUAAGUAGUAUUGACCUUAUCAGCUUGCUGCUUUCUUCUCGGAAAUUAUUUAAUGCACUUUUCAGUUAACAAGUCAACAUCAAUUUCUUUUGUUGUAAAAGGGUAUGAGGAAGGUGGCUUUCUUUUCGGAGAAAGUGUUUAUAGCCUUGUGCCUCUGCAAUCGGAGAGAUUGAGGUCUGCAGCGUAGAUCCUUCGGGGUUAGAUACGUUUGUGCUAAGUUAUAGCUUUUCAUAGACAACUUGUUGACUAUGUUUAGUCUUGUAGCUUACUCGCUGACGCUAUUUUACCUACGCUUAGGAUGUUGAAUCUGUGCGAGACUAC
rnacentral:rRNA from 1 species